rnacentral:lncRNA from 1 species
AAAUAAUUCAAAUGUAUAUACUUGAAAUAAACUUCAACAAAAAAAAUAUAAUUUGCGUAGUACUAUACCCAUACUAAUAAAGCACUACUAUUUCAAGAAGUUCACAAGCAAUGAACUUUACAAAACCGAAUGUAUUUCAUCAAAUAAUAAUAAAUUGAAAAUUAAAUUUUGAACAUUAUUUAGGUCAAUAAAAAUUAUCUAGGCCAAAUUAAAUUUUGAACUUUGGGAAUCCUUGAGCAGUACCUUCUCCCCAACCAUGUAAGCAACAUCACAGACCUUCCUAUUGGCAUAACUCUUCUGUCUAGAGUGCACUAUGCGAAGCCGUUCCUGAAUCAUCUUAACCUUAUCCAAAGCAUCCCGGACCAAGUCAGUACCCAUUAGCCAACGCCUCUAAGUCAGAAUCCGGGCUAGAAACGACGCAUGCAUCCGUCGUCCGCUUGCCGACCGGCAGUAGGGGCCACAAUAUCAAUAACAAUAAACGUCACAAUUGUUCAAAAAGUAUGCAUCAUUCACGUCAAUAGGUCAAAUUGAUUUGUGGCCACAUUUUUAAUUGCAUCACUCGCAUUUUCCUGCACAUUCAAAAUGAAAUUAAAAAUUAGAAAAAAAAACCUAUAUAUAGUAUGCAUUGGUUAUAGCAACAUGUCUUACUAAUAACUAAUGAGGUUUAUUUCACUACUAAAACAUAACUAAGUCAAACACAAAAAAAGAGGUGCAAGCUAAGGAGAAGCAAAGUUGUGAAUUAAUAACUUGCUUACAUCCCAAAAUCACAGAAUGCUUUGCCUCGAUUUCGAUAUGAGCACAUGCAUAAUAAUAGUGAGAUUUGGAAAAGACAAGGAUUUCAACGUAUCCUACACUUGAAAGAGGUCAAAGAAUAUUCUAAUUCCCUUCAAAAGGUUUAGUACUUUGUGUAAGGGCAUAUUAUACCAAUUAUAUUCGUGAAAUAUAUUUUCCUUCCAUUCAUUCAUAACUCCUGUUAUUAUGUAAUGGAAUCAUCAAAAGCAAAUAGUUUAGAAAAACAUGGUCUUAUAAGUUUAGAGUGUGAAAUAUAAAUAUCUUUUCAAGACUCGGAGCAUGAGUUGAGCCAGAAGAAUGUGAUAGAUUUUGGCCACUCAUUCCUCGUACACUACUUGCAUCAACGGGUGAAGGAAGAUUAGAUCCGGCACACCCUUGUAUAUCAUGAAUAUUUAGUCCAGGGUUAUUUUGUACCAUUUGAACAAAAAAAUAUCGCAUUUCUUCUCUCAUUAUUUCCUUCAUUUCUUCCUUCAAAGAAGUUAUUUCAUUAGCAUGCUUUUGUUGAAGCUUGCUGAUUUCCUCAUCUUUUUUCAGAGAUCUUAUCGUCACCGAUCUACCAUAGCAUCUAACCGGACCAGGUUGCUCGUUUCCAAACACAAUCUUAAAUGCAUCAUCUGCUGUUUCUUGAAACUUUGACGAUUUUGAAGUUCAGACCGUUAAAAAGAAAUAUUACUGAAUAUCACUUAGUGGAUAUGCUAUAGAAAGUAAAAAAUAAUAACAUUUGAAUACAGAAAUGGAGCAGCUAUGCCGAAUAUUGUGUAGAAAUACAGUUGAAAAAUGCAAAAAUCCAGAAAGGCAGUGCAAAAAUAUAGAAGCACAUAGCAUACUGUGCUAGUGUGCUUAAUAGAACAAGUAAAGUUUCAACUGAACCUUUUGGAAUGUAAUACAUAUACUGAUUAGAGAAGUGGAAAUCAGUCUCCUUUGGUACCAGGUGACAGAUUUUCAGCUCCUCUGUGAUUUGAAAUUACCAUUACAUGACAGAAUUCUCAUAAUUUAUUGCUUAGUUAAUUCACUGCUUGUUACUUCUUUUCACAUCACUUAUUUUGCUAUUCUGGAAUCCGUAUGUAGCGAGUCCAUGCAUUAUAACUUCUGAUGGCUUUGUUGUAACCUAUGAAUGGUAAGAGACAUAACAACUUUAAGGAGUGUUUGAUUAUAGUAGUAUGACAUAUUUGUGGUAUAGAGGGAGUAAGUUUAUUUGGACUGACAAAAAGAAGAAACACGAACUAACCUAAUCCUUGAAAGAUUGAAUCGAUGUCUUGCCAAAAAUAGGAAAAUCUUGAUAAUACCAGUAGAUGACAGCUUAGUCAUGCUACGGAACUUAACUUCUUCCUCCUAGUAAAAUCUUUUUUCUUCUUCCACCUGAUAAAUAUAGAUAAUUUUCAGACAUGACCAACUUCAACUCAGUUCUGUACAAGUCCACACAUGUGAAUUGUGACCCCCACCUUCUAAAUGACCAUCCAAAAUAGCAGGAAUUCUCUUAACUUAAACACAAAUUUCACAUGUAGGUGUCAUAUGUGGAAGGGUAAAAAUUAGCUGAAGUAAUACUUACUUUGUCAAACACUAAUCACGUGGUAGAAAUUAUCUAAAAUAUGUUUUGACCAGAUCUGAUCAACUCUUUCUCGGCAACUUCACAGCCAACUUUCAGUAGCACAGAAAUAAAUCUCACAAUCUGCAAUUAAAAAGAAUAUCGAUAAGAACACAAAGAUAAAGGCUGACCUGAGAUUGUCAACUUAAUAAUUUAGCAAAGCUGCAAAGAUAAUUGGACAUAUAUGCUAAGAUUCUCUACUCAGCUUCUAUUUCACAUACUAAAAGCUGAUAAGAGAAGAUCAUAUUACGAAGUAUAUAACUUUGGAUAUCUUUUUGGCAUAACAUUAUUCAAAUAUAAAAUGAUCAAAUUGUAGAACAAUUGAAAGAUCAGCUCAUUGAAAUAGUAUAAUUUCUUAGUUUAAUUAUACGCCCUUAGUUGUAUAAAUAAGUAAAAAAAAAUGAUCUCAUGCUGCGUCUUCAAAAUCAAACUCAUCUUCUGAUAUCAAGGAAUAUUGAUUAAUACUCGAGCACAUAAAGGAGAAAAGCUCAUAGAAACAGAAAUACCUCUACGAAAUUUUAUAGUAUUAGAAAUUUAAUACGUCUAUCAAGUGAUUGCAAAUCAGAACAAACCAAAAGAAGAACUAAGGAAAUAGAAUUUUACACCCCAAGAAAACUCAAAUAUUAACUCUCAAACAAGAAUUCUGGUCAAGCGAUUUGCGUGUGACUAUCAUCUCUGACAAGGCUAUCCAAAAAUAGUUGACGAUUGAGUUUACUGGAGGUCGAACGGUGUUGUUGUUACAUAUUAUGUUACCUCAAAGUAUAGUGGAUAGCAGUUAAAGCUAGCUGCCUUAACUGAUUAGGGUAGGAAAACAAAACUUAGCAGAUGCCUCCCUUAAUCAUAAAAGAGUAAGAUAGCCCAUUUUGAGCUAAGAAGUUAUAAGAAUUGAGAACAAUACCAGUUUUGACUUAUGAGCUGUGAGAUUGUCAUAUUAGCUUAUAUAUAUGAUACUUUGAGUUUCACUACACUUACUUGAUAGCAUGCAUGUCUCUUUAAAAGUUAUUUUUGAGGGACCAGCCCCAAAAUAAAAUAUUAAUUCAAAGAAAGAAAAUAACAAGUUGCAAUGGCAACUUGUUUGCGAUAAGGGCGGCUAAAAUAAAGUUGCAAGUUGCAACAAGACCAAAACAGAAAUAAUUCUGGACGAUGCAAAUUGCAAAGAACAAAGCAUUUUUAUUGGUUGAAAG